rnacentral:rRNA from 1 species
AUGGAAGGUAAUUCUGUGGCUUGGAGAUUGACAUGCUUCUAUGGAGAACCUAACUGGGAUCAGAAGCACUUGUCAUGGACAUAUUUGAGGAACCUUCAUGGUAAUUUAACGGGGCCUUGGUUGGUCCUGGGGGAUUUUAAUGAGAUCCUGGUGGCAAGUGAGAAGGAAGGCAGGAAUGUUAGACCACAACAAUACAUGCAGAAUUUCAGAGAUUGUGUAGAUGAUUGUGAGCUACAAGAAGUCACGACUAUUGGAGAUCCUUUUACCUGGAGUCAUGGAGUAAUCAGAGAGUGCCUAGAUAGAGGCCUUUGUAAUGAGCAAUGGGCUGUUAUGUUCCCGUUUGCGGGCUUGAUUCAUGAACACCACGUCCACUCUGAUCAAGACCGAUUCUAUUGGACAUUGAUUAUUUUGCUUCUGCUAUGGGACAGAAACCUUGCGGGGAAAGAAAGUUUGAAGGAAGGUGGUUGA